GACGAACGCUGGCGGCGUGCUUAACACAUGCAAGUCGAACGGCGAAGCCCUUAGGGGUGGAUCAGUGGCGAACGGGUGAGUAACACGUGAGCAACCAGACCCUGGCCCUGGGAUAACUACUGGAAACGGUGGCUAAUACUGCGCACGAACCGCAUCGGCAUCGCGUGUGGGUGGAAAGUUUCUUGGCUGCGGAUGGGCUCGAGGCCGAUCAGCUUGUUGGUGGAGUGUAGGGGCACCAAGGCACCGACGGGUAGCCGGCCUGAGCGGGCGACCGGCCACACGGGGACUGAGACACGGCCCAGACGCCUACGGGAGGCAGCAGUGGGGAAUAUUGCACAAUGGUCGAAAGCCUGAUGCAGCGACGCCGCGUGAGGGAUGACGGCCUUCGGGUUGUAAACCGCUUUCAGCUCCGAAGAAGCGAAAGUGACGGUAGGAGCAGAAGAAGCACCGGCUAACUACGUG
rnacentral:rRNA from 1 species